UUUGUCAAACGAUAUUUAUUUUUUAUUUAAAUUAUAUUUCUGUUUCGAUUCAUCGCAUUCAAUGUACAAUAUUUCGUAUUAAUUAUGUCAAUUGAGAUUUACAAAUGACAGGAAAGACGUAAAAACAUUAAUUGUCUUAUAUUCUAAAUUUUAGGUUAAAACUCUACAAAAUUUUAGCCCAUUCGUUUAUUAAUGUUAAAACAAAUAUUUUCGUAGGAAAUAUUCUCGAAUUUAAUAAUGUACAAUGGUGAAUGAUGUGGUUGAUGUAUCAAAGAUAGAAUUUACAUAUGAGAUAUCUCUUUAUGCUGUUAAAUUGAUGAAAAAAUGUAUAAUACGUAUGGCUGAAAUUUAUAAGCAUUUUACUCAUCAUUAAGAAUGAAGAACAUCGAGGAAAAAGGUGGAAGUAAAGAAAAUCUAAGAGCGGUUUGUAAAAUUGCUAAGAGAAUCAAAUGUUCCAUAUACACAUAUAUGCUACUCCGUUUUCAGUGGUGUUACUUUUAAUAUCUUUAUCAGUAUGGCUUUGUAUAUGUCGGUGGGGAUUUCGAUAUAAUUUAAAAGAUCGAGAAAUUUUGUCCUGUUUAAUUUUGUACUUUAUUGUCAUCACUUUGUUGAAUAUGUUCUUUUUGGGCCACAUGCAAUUUUAUUGCGAUCAUCCACAUGGAAUCAAAAAUUAAAAGCUUGUUAUUGUAACACGUAAGAGUUAAUAUAUUUAGUAAUGUAUAUGUACUAUUCACUAUAUUUGAUUUGUUUUAAAAAAAUAACAAAAUUGAUUAAUAUUUCAAUAUAAGUAAGAGAAUGUUGCAUUAAAGUAUUUAUUAAAUUUAUUAUAUAUUGAAUUUUGUAAAAAUAAAAUAUUUGUAAUAUAACAAAUAUAUCAUCUGUAAAUAUUGUAUUACAUUAUAUUUUCCUUAAAUCGAUGUUAAUAUAUAUAUAUAUAUAUAUAUGAUAUACAUUGAUCGAAAUAUUAAUAUUAUAUUAGUACUCAAUAAUUAUUUAAAUAAAUAUAUAUUUUUUAAAAUUA